ensembl:lncRNA
AUGUUGUCAAGCCAUUGAAUUAACCAACCCUGUGGAUGACCUGACCUCCACAUACCUAGCUAUGUUAGGUUCAAGCUACUCUUCCUCUUAAAAUGCAGAGUCUAUUUCAAGAGCCUUCCCAUGAGUCUAGUCCUGCCAACAGAAUACAUAAGUAAUAUAAUAUCAGUUCCAGACCUCGGUCUUAAGAGAGCAACCAUCUUACCUUCUUCCUUCACACUGUUGGAAACCAGGACCCCUGUCUCACUGUUCGUUGAACACACAGUAUGCAAGGCAAGAGCGGGGAACCUGGAAGAAGAUUCGAGGAGUCGUAGGAACUGCAGAUAGGUUUAUUCUCUCCUGACUGGCACAGCAGCAGCAGACAUGUUGCAAUCGCUCACGGUUAACCCAGCAGACACAGCCGUAACGCAUGCCAAGGGCUUUUCAGGUGGUACUUAUAUAGGCAUGAUGCACACAUGCAGUGCUACAAACAAUUUCAGCUGUUACAGAAACAUGCAAAGUUAUUAUUUACAAAACGUGGGGCGAGAGAGCCUGAUCACUGCCAUCUUGGCUAAUUUGCUCCUUCCCUACAACCAGGUAAGAAAGUCUAGGCUAACUCCCAAAUGACGGGCCACUAGGAGGAAACUUUAUGGAGGAGACUUAAUUGACUCCAGCCAAAAGGCAGCAGCACCAAGACCACAAUAAGGCGAGCGACAUCAUCCUGGGCCUUCCAGUCCCAAUUAAGCUAUGUGGGCUGACACCUCAUAAAGCAUCUCUGCUAAGCCCCGUCUGCAGUCCCAACCACAGAAUUGUGAGCAAUAAAACACCUGCUAUUUCAGUCACGAAGUAUUGGGAGUGGUUUGUUAGGCAGCAACAGCUGAAGUAUAAAGUUGUAUUAUUUGUUCUCUUGCUUUGUAAAAUUGUUCUAGUCUGUGCACUAUGAUUAGGAAUUAUUUAGCGAGCCACUCUGAAAGCUGCUGCUGCUGCUGCUGCUAAGUCGCUUCAGUCGUGUCCAACUCUGUGCGACCCCAUAGACAGCAGCCCACCAGGCUCCCCGUCCCUGGGAUUCUCCAGGCAAGAACAUUGGAGUGGGUUGCCAUUUCCUUCUCCAAUGCAUGAAGUGAAAAGUGAAAGUGAAGUCGCUCAGUCGUGUCCGACUCCUAGCAACCCCAUGGACUGCAGCCUACCAGGCUCCUCCGUCCAUGGAAUUUUCCGGCAACAGUACUGGAGUGGGGUGCCAUUGCCUACUCUGAAAGCUAAUGAGUAUUUUUUCUUCAAAUAUGUGUUUCAUCUUAGCUCACAAAAGAGUUGUUUCUCUCCAUGUACCACCUUGUACUAACAUUUACAAAACAAAUACAAAUAAAAGGGGAAAUAUUUGUGACAAAUGAGUUGAUACCCUUCUCUCACAAACAGAAAAGAAAAAUAGCAACACCUCAGUUUUAAAAAUGGGAAAA